rnacentral:rRNA from 1 species
UACGUAGGGUCCGAGCGUUGUCCGGAAUUAUUGGGCGUAAAGGGCGCGUAGGCGGCCUGCUAAGUCGAACGUGAAAUCCCCGAGCUCAACUCGGGAACUGCGCCCGAUACUGGCAGGCUUGAAUCCGGGAGAGGGAUGCGGAAUUCCAGGUGUAGCGGUGAAAUGCGUAGAUAUCUGGAGGAACACCGGUGGCGAAGGCGGCAUCCUGGACCGGCAUUGACGCUGAGGCGCGAAAGCCAGGGGAGCAAACGGG